rnacentral:rRNA from 1 species
UACGUAGGGUCCGAGCGUUGUCCGGAAUUACUGGGCGUAAAGAGCUCGUAGGUGGUUUGUCGCGUUGUUCGUGAAAACUCACAGCUCAACUGUGGGCGUGCGGGCGAUACGGGCAGACUUGAGUACUGCAGGGGAGACUGGAAUUCCUGGUGUAGCGGUGGAAUGCGCAGAUAUCAGGAGGAACACCGGCGGCGAAGGCGGCUGCCUGGACCAGUCCUGACGCUGAGGCGCGAAAGCUAGGGGAGCAAACAGG